AUGAUGAUAGACAUUCACUACCAUGACAUGAAGAAAAAAAUUAACUGCAAGGAGGACCAUACUCUGUGGGGAUUCUGCCCACUGCAAGAAAAGCAUAUCAAGUAUGCAGCAAUAGAUGCAUUCGGAACAUAUGAGUCAUGGAGAAUUAUCUACGAUGUCAUCAUGGGACUGGACAGGGCAAAAAGAGACAAAGAAGCAAAGCAGAAGAAGAACAAGGCUGUAAUCCAAUGCAGCAACUAG
rnacentral:rRNA from 1 species